rnacentral:rRNA from 1 species
UGGCUCAGAACGAACGCUGGCGGCGCGUUUAAGCAUGCAAGUCGAGCGGCAAGGGCCUUCGGGCCCCUAGAGCGGCGGACGGGUGAGUAACACGUGGACAAUCUGCCCCCCGGCCCGGGGUAGCCCAGGGAAACCUGGAUUAAUACCGGAUGAGACGGGACCCGCGAUGGCGGGACCCGGGAAAGGCGCUGCGGCGCCGCCGGGGGAUGAGUCUGCGUCCCAUUAGCUAGACGGCGGGGUAACGGCCCACCGUGGCGACGAUGGGUAGCCGGCCUGAGAGGGUGGACGGCCACAUUGGAACUGAGACACGGUCCAGACUCCUACGGGAGGCAGCAGCUAAGAAUCUUCCGCAAUGGGCGAAAGCCUGACGGAGCGACGCCCGCGUGAACGAAGAAGGCCGUGAGGUUGUAAAGUUCUUUUCGGGAGGGGGAACAACCGUGGCAGGGAAUGGCCGCGGGAUGACGUGAAUCCCGGAAUAAGCUCCGGCUAACUACGUGCCAGCCGCCGC